UACGUAGGGUCCGAGCGUUGUCCGGAAUUACUGGGCGUAAAGAGCUCGUAGGUGGUUUGUCACGUUGUUCGUGAAAACCCACAGCUCAACUGUGGGCGUGCGAGCGAUACGGGCAGACUAGAGUACUGCAGGGGAGACUGGAAUUCCUGGGUGUAGCGGUGGAAUGCGCAGAUAUCAGGAGGAACACCGGUGGCGAAGGCGGGUCUCUGGGCAGUAACUGAC
rnacentral:rRNA from 1 species